CUCCAAUGUUUUUGUCGGCUGUUCUUGAAGACUGCUGGGUCUCUACAAUCACAUUCUUUGGCUGGUGCCAGUGUUUAAGCACUCUGAAACUGCAUAGCAGCAUGUUUGAAGGCCGCCUGUCAAAUUUGGGAAGCUGACAUGUGACUGAGCUAGUCACGGGGUUCUUCACACAAAAGGCAGUCUGGAUCCUGGUCGACUGGAGAUUCCAUCUGAAUGUGGAUGGAUUUAAAAGGUGACUGGAACACUUCUUCCUGACCUCAGAGAUGUGAUGGAUGUCUGGGAAGAUUUUCUCAAGGGCUAGAAGUUAAGAACUUUGUUCCUACUGUUUAUCUUUUUCCCUUUCGUAUUCAAGCCACUUAACCAUACUGAGCCUCAACGUUUUCAUUUAUAAAAUGGAAAUCAGUCUAACUUUUCUCUGGAGGACAGCUGUUGCCUGCCUAUCACUAUUUCCUCCUUUUCUGGUGACAACAUCCUCCUUUUCUUCAAAGAAUAAUGCCUACCCCAUUAUAAUGACUUUUACAUGGGGCUGUCCCAACACGUGUUGCCUUCAAGGCUAGGUGCAUGACACAGGCCUGGCCAAUCCGUGUGUCCAAUCCCUCUGGCCACUGUGAUUGGUCCAGUUAUGGGUAUAUGAUGCAGAUCAAUCCAGUAAAACUCAGCCUCGUGACUUUUACUGGAACCAUCAGUCAAGACACCUUCUUUUUCUGUGGCGUUUCCAGGUUAGGAGAAGGAAGGUUAGAGCCCUGGGAUGCCACCUCAUGUGAAAAGCCUACCAGAGAGCAAAACUAGCACAAAGGAAGGAAAGUAUUCCAAUAAAAGGGUGACACGGAAAACUGAAAUGUGAAUUUGUUAAAUCCUCAAAUAGCCAACAGCUUCUAGGACAAGAUCAUACAGUUAGGACCUCGAUAACAAUUCGACUGUGGAAUUGUCGAAUUAGGACCUCGAUAACAAUUCGACUGUGGAAAUAUAAGAACAUUUUAGAUACUGUGUUGCUCAACUCUGAAACGCUGCUCUGUGUUGUGAAUAUUGGUUUAUUUUCUUUGUAGAGUGGCGUCAUUAAGACUAGAACUCCAGGCUUCCUCAUUCAACUCCAAGGGUUCCCAGCAACAUGUGAAGUCCUCUGUCACUAAGAAGCUAUGAUGGUUGUAAGAAUCUGAGACAGUGAGAGGGAAAAGAUUGUUUUCCAUUCAUUAGUUUGGGUUGAGCAUUGGAGGCAUCUCCUCACCUGCUAAACCAGCACUGCAAUAGAUGGAUGACUCACUUCUCAUAGGAAUGAUAGAACUUGGAUCAUCUUGUCAAUCACAGAGCGUGGUGGCCUUCUGCAAAUGUUUGUGGAAUGAAUAAGUGAGAGAAUGAGAGAUUAAUAAAGCCAAUACUAAUACCAGUCCAACGAAGAGCUGCAACUGAAAGAAAUCUGACAAAUAGGCCAUCCAUCCUUCCCCAGAGAGCAUUACUGAGCAUUCAGUGUCGACGUAGCAUAUUCAGUAGCAGUUUAUCCCAGACACACAUCCAUGGAGAGGAGGGAGCUACACGCUUUCCUGAUCAUCUGGUUUCAUAUGAAGACAAAGGUUAAAGUAGGACAGAUGAGUGAUACUCUACCAAAGAUUGUGAGUACAGCAUUCUUAACAUUCCCAUUCUUCUACUAAGACCAGGCAAAGGCAGGUGAGUUUGCUGAUUUGUACUGAUUGAUCAGAAUGCAUGUUCUUGGCCGUAUAUGUAUGAUACACUAUUGAAAUAACUGGAGAAAUCCUCAUCCUACCAAGCAUGUAUUCAUAGAAAAAUGAGAUGACUGUUAGCUUAAAUUCUGCUUUCUCAGGGAGGUCUUGAUUGACUAAAUGCUCGAAUUUUAAAUUAGCUCUUCCUGUUUUUCCCUCUUU